rnacentral:rRNA from 1 species
UAACACGUGAGCAACCUGCCCUUGACUCUGGAAUAACAGUUGGAAACAGCUGCUAAUACCGGGUAUGACAUUCUCCUGCAUGGGGGGGUGUGGAAAGCCCUGGCGGUCAAGGAUGGGCUCGCGGCCUAUCAGCUAGUUGGUGAGGUAAUGGCCCACCAAGGCGACGACGGGUAGCCGGCCUGAGAGGGUGACCGGCCACACUGGGACUGAGACACGGCCCAG